UGGGGAAUUUUGGACAAUGGGCGAAAGCCUGAUCCAGCAAUGCCGCGUGUGUGAAGAAGGCCUUCGGGUUGUAAAGCACUUUUGUCCGGAAAGAAAUCCUUGGCUCUAAUACAGUCGGGGGAUGACGGUACCGGAAGAAUAAGCACCGGCUAACUACGUGCCAGCAGCCGCGGUAAUACGUAGGGUGCAAGCGUUAAUCGGAAUUACUGGGCGUAAAGCGUGCGCAGGCGGUUUGCUAAGACCGAUGUGAAAUCCCCGGGCUCAACCUGGGAACUGCAUUGGUGACUGGCAGGCUAGAGUAUGGCAGAGGGGGGUAGAAUUCCACGUGUAGCAGUGAAAUGCGUAGAGAUGUGGAGGAAUACCGAUGGCGAAGGCAGCCCCCUGGGCCAAUACUGACGCUCAUGCACGAAAGCGUGGGGAGCAAACAGGAUUAGAUACCCUGGUAGUUCACGCCCUAAACGAUGCCAACUAGUUGUUGGGGAUUCAUUUCCUUAGUAACGUAGCUAACGCGUGAAGUUGACCGCCUGGGGAGUACGGUCGCAAGAUUAAAACUUAAAUGAA
rnacentral:rRNA from 1 species